GUGAGGAAUAUUGGUCAAUGGGCGAGAGCCUGAACCAGCCAAGUCGCGUGAAGGAAGAAGGAUCUAUGGUUCGUAAACUUCUUUUGCAGGGGAAUAAAGUGCAGGACGUGUCCUGUUUUGUAUGUACCCUGAGAAUAAGGAUCGGCUAACUCCGUGCCAGCAGCCGCGGUAAUACGGAGGAUCCGAGCGUUAUCCGGAUUUAUUGGGUUUAAAGGGUGCGUAGGUGGUUUGAUAAGUCAGCGGUGAAAGUUUGCAGCUUAACUGUAAAAAUGCCGUUGAAACUGUCGGACUUGAGUGUAAAUGAGGUAGGCGGAAUGCGUGGUGUAGCGGUGAAAUGCAUAGAUAUCACGCAGAACUCCGAUUGCGAAGGCAGCUUACUAAGCUACAACUGACACUGAAGCACGAAAGCGUGGGGAUCAAACAGGAUUAGAUACCCUUGUAGUC
rnacentral:rRNA from 1 species